rnacentral:misc_RNA from 1 species
AUUUUGUCCCCUAAGCAUUUCUACAUCAAAUUAGAUGAUAGCAUUUAGAAACCAAAUCGUCACAUGAUUUGGCAGCGGACUGUUUACGUUUGAUGUUUCUCACCUUCAAUCACACAAAAUUGGAGAAAAGGAGAAGAAGAAGAUAUCAACUCAUACUGACAUAUCAACUCAUACUAACAUCCUGCAACGGCAAUCAAUCAUCCGCAAUGCAAUAUGCAUAUACAUAUUAGUACAAUUGGUUCCUAUUGAGACUCGAACUCAAAACCUGACAGCCCAGCUAAAGCUCAUUGUUAUAUGCAAUACAAUAUUAAGCACUACACAAGCACAAACAUUUAUAUUUAAAUCCAUUAAUUUUUCAGAGAUGUCACGCACAAAACUUGUAAAUUUUAAUCCAUUAAUUGUUCAGAGAUGCCACACACACACACACACACA